rnacentral:lncRNA from 9 species
CCAAAGAGCAGUAUCAUCUCAUGGAUCCUGAAGAAUCCCCUGCACAGAGGGGAUUUCACAGAAAUUCAAGAAUCCACAUUGUGCAUGGGUGGGGCCUGUUCGGAAAGAGGACUCUGGGCAUUUCAGAAAGGGGUUGGUCUGGAAUGGAGCGUGCACGGCGAAGGGAAGAUGGAGUCUCUCCCUGGGAGAAGUUUAUGGUCUGUUCCCAGAGAGAGACUGAAGCCAAACCAUUCAAUGGGAAGUGUCAGCGAUCAAUGCCUAGACUAAGAGGCCCCUGCACAGACUGGAAACUCUGGGACACUUCCUAGCCAGUGCCUGCUGUUGUGUGCUCCCCUUCACCCCAGCAUCGCUGCAGUGGACUGACUCCCAGAAGAAGGGGCUACAGCUCCUUUUCCUUGCUCCACCUCACUUGAGCAUCAUGUCAUCUCACCACCCCAAAGAUAUUUAAGAACUAAGAAAAUGUGAGAAGAGUUUCUUUUUCCAAAAAAAAGUUCCUAAACUAGGCA